ACUCCUACGGGAGGCAGCAGUGGGAAUAUUGGACAAUGGGGGCAACCCUGAUCCAGCAAUGCCGCGUGUGUGAAGAAGGCCUGCGGGUUGUAAAGCACUUUCAGUGGGGAAGAAAAGCUGCAAGUUAAUACCUUGUCGUGUUGCCAUUACCCACAGAAGAAGCACCGGCUAACUCCGUGCCAGCAGCCGCGGUAAUACGGAGGGUGCGAGCGUUAAUCGGAAUUACUGGGCGUAAAGCGCGCGUAGGCGGCAAGCUAAGUCUGAUGUGAAAGCCCUGGGCUUAACCUGGGAAUGGCAUUGGAUACUGGCUAGCUCGAGUGUGUUAGAGGGUGGCGAAUUCCCGGUGUAGCGGUGAAAUGCGUAGAGAUCGGGAGGAACAUCGAUGGCGAAGGCAGCCACCUGGGACAACACUGACGCUGAGGUGCGAAAGCGUGGGGAGCAAA
rnacentral:rRNA from 1 species